GGAGCCUACGGAACGCAGCAGUAGGGAAUCUUCCACAAUGGGCGAAAGCCUGAUGGAGCAACGCCGCGUGGGUGAAGAAGGUCUUCGGAUCGUAAAACCCUGUUGUUGGAGAAGAAAGUGCGUGAGAGUAACUGUUCACGUUUCGACGGUAUCUAACCAGAAAGCCACGGCUAACUACGUGCCUGCAGCCGCGGUAAUACGUAGGUGGCAAGCGUUAUCCGGAUUUAUUGGGCGUAAAGGGAACGCAGGCGGUCUUUUA
rnacentral:rRNA from 1 species